UAUUGGUGAGAACUCGCAGUAUGCUCGGCAAUGUGCAAAGAAACGAGCCACCGCGAUAGUUUACAAGCACUGCCGCUGGGAGUUCACAAGCACUACCGCUGGGAGUCCAUCAUUGCCGGUCUUCUGCUCUGAACCUCCCUGACUUGAACUGGAUGUAGAGCACCAAAAGGGUUCACUGGGCAUCCCCUGGAAGCUUGUUGUGCGCGGACAGGAAGUCCACCAGCACAUACCCUAGCAGUCCUGUGCGCGCGGCCGGGGAUUAAAACAGCAACUUGCUGAAGUGCUACUGUGUCACCGUGGCUCAAAUGGUUGCAUCAUUCAUCUUGUCACCGUAGCUCCAUGAUCGCAUGCCUUUGAGAAGUUUUGUAGCAUUUUUCCUCCGUGAAGUGUUACUGUGUCUGACUUUCACUUUUGACUUUUGCCUUUAACUCUGAUUACUUGUAAUAAUUUGGGGAAAUGAAUAACAUGUACUUGUGUUGAUGUGUAAUAGAAAAAAAUAAGAAGUUCAUUUUUAUUUA